rnacentral:rRNA from 1 species
UGGGGAAUAUUGCACAAUGGGCGCAAGCCUGAUGCAGCCAUGCCGCGUGUAUGAAGAAGGCCUUCGGGUUGUAAAGUACUUUCAGCGGGGAGGAAGGCGAUAAGGUUAAUAACCUUGUCUAUUGACGUUACCCGCAGAAGAAGCACCGGCUAACUCCGUGCCAGCAGCCGCGGUAAUACGGAGGGUGCAAGCGUUAAUCGGAAUUACUGGGCGUAAAGCGCACGCAGGCGGUCUGUCAAGUCGGAUGUGAAAUCCCCGGGCUCAACCUGGGAACUGCAUUCGAAACUGGCAGGCUAGAGUCUUGUAGAGGGGGGUAGAAUUCCAGGUGUAGCGGUGGAAUGCGUAGAGAUCUGGAGGAAUACCGGUGGCGAAGGCGGCCCCCUGGACAAAGACUGACGCUCAGGUGCGAAAGCGUGGGGAGCAAACA